rnacentral:rRNA from 1 species
GACGAACGCUGGCGGCGUGCCUAACACAUGCAAGUCGAACGGAGUUAAACGCUGAAAAUGAGAUUAGUUUACUAAAGGAUUUUCUUGUUUAACUUAGUGGCGGACGGGUGAGUAACGCGUGAGUAACCUGCCUUACAGAGGGGGACAACAGUUGGAAACGACUGCUAAUACCGCAUAAUGUCUAACCGAGGCAUCUCGGAUAGACCAAAGGAGCAAUCCGCUGUAAGAUGGACUCGCGUCCAAUUAGAUAGUUGGUGGGGUAACGGCCCACCAAGUCGACGAUUGGUAGCCGGACUGAGAGGUUGAACGGCCACAUUGGGACUGAGACACGGCCCAG